GGUGAAUGGAUAGCUGUCUGCUGUUCUGUGUGAAACUUGUCCCUGUGCCAUUUUUCCAGUGUGCUGGAGGAAAGAACAGCGGUCAUCUGCCCUGAGGAUUCAGCAGAGAGCCUGGCACUGUGGGAAUUUACCUCGGCUGCUUUGGGGGAAGACAGUGUGAAGGAGGCUAGGUGGACACUCCCUGAGGAUUGAAAUUUCAGACUGUGGUUUUUUACAAGAGUGAUGAUCUCUUCCUAACACUUUAGAAGCUAAGCUGAUUGGAGGGGACCCUGAGGUCCUACAGGAGGUCACAGAUACAAAAUGGAAAGGACCCUGGGUUCCUGAGUAAUCCCGUGAAAGGGUGCCCAACGAGGAGCUCCCACAUCGGAUUGUAAUUUGAGUGAGAAACUUACUGAGUUAAAACAGUGAGUAUUUGCGGUUUAUCUGCCACAGCAGCUCAUGUAACCAUUAACAAACACACUAAUACAUCAUUUGUGAAUAAUGGCUAUUCUGAUUCUUCCUUUUACAUUAAUACUGUUUAUUUCUUUUUAUUUUCUUAUUGUGCCACUUAAGAAUUCUGUGUUCAAUGUUGAAUAUAAUUUUGAUAGUGGCCAUCCCUGUCUUCGUGAAUUUCAAGGAUAUGUUGAAGUUUUCCAUUAAGUAUGUCUUUCAUAGAUAAAGUUAAUUAGGCUAAGACAUUGUCCUUCAAUUUCUAAUUUAUUCAGAGUACUUUUCUUUGAAUCUGUAUUGAAAUUUGUCAAAUGUUCAUCAGCUUCUAGUGAUAUAUUUUUUGACCUUUGAUCUGUUAAUAUAAUGAAUCAUAUAAUAGAUUUUUCUAAUGUUAAACCAUCAUACAGUCCUUUGAUCAA